rnacentral:rRNA from 1 species
ACGGGGGAUUAGGGUUUGAUUCCGGAGAGGGAGCCUGAGAAACGGCUACCACAUCUAAGGAAGGCAGCAGGCGCGCAAAUUACCCAAUUCUAACAGCACAAGAGAGGUAGUGACAAGAAAUAACAAUACAAGGCAAUUAAAAUGCUUUGUAAUUGGAAUGAUAGAAAUUUAAACACUUUCUAAAGUAUCAAUUGGAGGGCAAGUCUGGUGCCAGCAGCCGCGGUAAUUCCAGCUCCAAUAGCGUAUAUUAAAGUUGUUGCAGUUAAAAAGCUCGUAGUUGGAUUUCUGCUAAAAGUAACCGGUCUGCUUUUUAUUAAAGUGGCAUCUUGGUGUGCUUUUAGCUUUAAUAUCCUAUGAAAUGUUUUUUACUUUAUUGUUAAAAGCAAUAUUCAGGAUUUUUACUUUGAGAAAAUUAAAGUGUUUCAAGCAGACUACCGUUUUGAAUACUGCAGCAUGGAAUAAUAAAAUAGGAUUUUGGUUCUACAUUAUUGGUUUUAAGAGCUAAAUUAAUGACUAAUAAAGACAGUUGGGGGCAUUUGUAUUUAACU